UGGGGAAUAUUGCACAAUGGGCGCAAGCCUGAUGCAGCCAUGCCGCGUGUGUGAAGAAGGCCUUCGGGUUGUAAAGCACUUUCAGCGGGGAGGAAGGCGGUGAGGUUAAUAACCUCAUCGAUUGACGUUACCCGCAGAAGAAGCACCGGCUAACUCCGUGCCAGCAGCCGCGGUAAUACGGAGGGUGCAAGCGUUAAUCGGAAUUACUGGGCGUAAAGCGCACGCAGGCGGUCUGUCAAGUCGGAUGUGAAAUCCCCGGGCUCAACCUGGGAACUGCAUUCGAAACUGGCAGGCUAGAGUCUUGUAGAGGGGGGUAGAAUUCCAGGUGUAGCGGUGAAAUGCGUAGAGAUCUGGAGGAAUACCGGUGGCGAAGGCGGCCCCCUGGACAAAGACUGACGCUCAGGUGCGAAAGCGUGGGAAGCAAACAGG
rnacentral:rRNA from 1 species